rnacentral:rRNA from 1 species
AAAGCCGGGGACCUUCGGGCCUGGCGCGAUUGGAUGAGCCCAUGUCGGAUUAGCUAGUUGGCGGGGUAAUGGCCCACCAAGGCGACGAUCCGUAGCUGGUCUGAGAGGAUGAUCAGCCACACUGGAACUGAGACACGGUCCAGACUCCUACGGGAGGCAGCAGUAGGGAAUAUUGGACAAUGGGCGCAAGCCUGAUCCAGCCAUGCCGCGUGAGUGAAGAAGGCCCUCGGGUUGUAAAGCUCUUUUGUCCGGAAAGAAAAGCGCCGGGUUAAUACCCUAGUGUCCUGACGGUACCGGAAGAAUAAGCACCGGCUAACUUCGUG